GUCGCGCGGUGACGUCAAGCCCUGAUCUGACUCUAUGCAAAGCGCCCCGCGAUGCGCGCGUGCAGCUGAGCACAUGGAGGAGAGAGGACGCACACUUAGCAGCCUGGCUAAUGUAGCCUGUGGGUCGCAAAAUAUUGGCAAAUGAAGAACAUUUCAGAUCUGGAAAGUGGACUGACUUGCCUAAGGCGUCCUACAUGGUGCGGCUUUAUCAGGCAUGAUGAAAUGGAAAUAAGACUAAUCCGACCAAUCGCGGAUUAGCGUCAUGCAAAGGAGGGGUUUGGAAAAAUUAAUCAUUGAGCGAAUCGUUUGGGAGUCGUUGAGCAGUCUCCGCCCCACAUUCAGGAGAGUACCACAACGCAUAAGACUAAAUUAAAAACUGGCUGACAACAUUAAUACCCAUUUGGAGCAACAUGAGGGAUGAGAGAAAAAUAUUGAGGAUGUGAGCAGUCCCUUCACCUUUAAGAGUUAUCUUCAAAAUGGAGCUUGUUCUUUUUCCUAAGUUUCAGUCUCGGAAUCCAGUCACCCUGCCAGUGAGGAAUACGGUGAAGAGGCCGUCCUGUGCGAUAAGAGCACUACACCGGACAGCAUGACCUUCAGAGGACUGGACUUGAACUGUGUUUAGGCAGCAUGAAGUAGAGAACAACCUCCUGCUGAAGCCAUGAGUCACACUGCCAUCAGCCUCAAUUUAACCAUAGCGCUGAUGUCACCAGAGAUGUUAAAUCGGUCAGGUGCACCUCCAUGUGCCACAUACUGCUCACAAAAGAUGACUGCAUCCAUGUGAAUUGGUGGUAAAUUGGUCUAAUGGUGUUAAAAGCUUAAGUCUUCAGGAGUCUUCAGAAAGGGUUCAACCAAGUAUUUUUACAUAUGUGUAUACAUAUAUACUUAAAUAUACUUUAAAUAUAUAUAAGAAUUAUUGUUAACAUUCAUAACAGGUCUCCCUGCUCUGUUUUGAAGGGUUUCUUUAAGCACGGUAUGCACUGUGUAACCCCAGAGUGAACCCAGUGUGUUGUACUAAUAAAAUGCGUAUUAAUCUGUGAAUGCAUUUAAAAUCUAUGGAUAAUGUAAAGGUUAUAAUGCCCUUAUGUUUUGAUGAUUAGGCGACUGAAGAUAUAUAGGUUUUAGUGGGAGUAGCCAUUACUAUUCUUGGGCUGAGGAUUUUCUCGUGGAUCUCUGGUAAAGCCCAGGUUAAUGGAAUUGCUUCAGAUCUGGUUUUGGGGAUUGAGAAGCCUCCGUUUAGAUUAAUGUGAGCACCAGGGAUGAUGGGAGAGCGGGAUGCUGCCAGUGCUCUCUAAUAACACUGUGAGGGGUAGGGGUCAAUGCAGGGCAAGCCCAAUCUGGCUAGACUGUUUCGUCAGUGGAUUCUCUCAUAAUCCUCUUUCUCUGACUGCCACCGUGACCAUGUGACCUCCUGUGUAACAGAAACCAUGAAUCUCAGACAGCAGGGCAGCUAAAGGGCUUUAUGAAUUAUAAACAAUCUAGCAUGCAUUAGGAAUGAUGAAAUAAAUGCAAUUCUGUCUAGCAGGGUAGACAUUACCCAAAUUUAAGGAACAGUUCUCUAAAUAUUUCCACCCUCUUGUUUAAAUGUCAUGCGUUUCCUCUUUUACAGUGAAGAGGUUGUGUAUCAGUUAUCCGUACCCUCGGCUGGAGGAUUCAAAUUAGACUGAAUUCCUUUGUAAAGUGGUCUCUCACCUCUAUCAUGGGACAUGUUGUCAUUUCUGGGUGGUCCUGUUUCUUAAUGCCAACUUUCUCACAACUUUUUAGCGUUAAAUGCAGUAGUACAGGUUACACAUCCUUCAAGGGGCUCCCGGAUUCAACCGGCACAUGAAGCCUGUGCGUAUUUGUUUUGUGACAUGCACAUUUGUGACAUUACACAUUAAGACAAGCUGUUAUGUCAACAUUUCCUAAUUCUGUACAGUUGUAUCUUGCUUCUGAACUCAUUUGACCCUCACAUCCUCUAGUUAUCCAGCCAAUUUCUUUUUCUUAUCACUUUUUUCCUUUGAUAUCCCUCCCCUGUUGCUAACACUCUCUGUUCUUUAUCUAAGGGCAGCAGGCCAGGCACACGUGUACCAGCUCUCUGAAGAAGGCCAGUUCAGUGGAAACUAGCAAGCAAACACUCUGAAAAGGACACACGCUCCCUCAAUGUCAGCAAAUAUUUGGUCACAACUUCAAAGGGAAGUGACAGUUGUUUGAAACUGGGGAUGACGUUGGGCACUAUUAGAGCAGCGCAAGAGGUCCUGCCACGCUUGACUGCCGGCAUUUACACUUCUCAGUCCUCUCUCACUGCACACCUUCCUGUGGAGAUUGACUCGCUUUGUUUCCUCCCAGAUGAAUGUCUCUUUGAACCUCUUGUGGCAUAUGAAUGAACUGCAGUUAUAUUACUGGUUCCAGCUCUGUGGUGAUUCAUCGAAUGGGAAGUACAAAGGAAUUUGCUGCAUCACAGAGCAAAUCUGUUCAGAUUUUCAUGUGUAAACAAGAUUCCUUUGACGUGACCAACAAGAGUAUAAAAAUUACAAAUCUUUUGAGAAAGAUCUGUUUACUGGUUCUCAAUUACUUUCUUUCUGUCCAUCCAUCACCUUAGUCUCACUUUCACAGUCUCUCCGCCACUCUUUUCAUGCAGCGGUUUUUAUGAAUAAUAUAUGCCACAUUGCUUUGCUGUCAUUAAAGGUGACCUUGGUUAAUUAUUGAUCGGGUCAGAUGAUUACAGGCCUGACCUCUGUAUGUUCUUGUCUGCCUGUCGUCUGUUUUCAUGUUUACGCUCUUCCUCUUAGUAUUCCUGGAGACCCUCGUAUGACGAAUUACUGUCUAUUGUUAUUGCUGGGGGAGUGUUGGCGCCUUUACAGAGACAUGAAAUGUAAAAUUACAAAUGUAACCAUGAACGUCAAGACUGUUACUUUGUUUUAAUGAAAUAUGUAAGAGGUAAUGUAUAGUCAGUUGGUCAUUAUCACUAAAUAAACCCUGACAGGGUAAUCAGGUUGAGCCCCUGAAGGGGUUUAUUUUGUUACAGUGACCGGCUGACUCUAAAAUGUCCUGCUUAUUACCUUGCUACUUGUCAAAUGAAUACAUAAAUGGACUUGAAAUAUU